rnacentral:rRNA from 1 species
GGACCCUCCGGGGAGCUUGUACAGGUGCUGCAUGGCUGUCGUCAGCUCGUGUCGUGAGAUGUCGGUUAAGUCCGCUAACGAGCGCAAUCCUCGCUGUGUGUUACAAGUGUCACACGGAACUGCCGGUCAUAAACCGGAGGAAGGUGGGGAUGACGUCAAGUCAGCAUGGCCUUUAUAUCCUGGGCUACACACACGCUACAAUGGGAAGGGACAAUAGGUUGCGAAGCCGCGAGGCGGAGCCAAUCCAGCAAAACUUCCCUCAGUUCAGAUUGCAGGCUGCAACUCGCCUGCAUGAAGUUGGAGUUGCUAGUAAACGCAGGUCAGCCAUACUGCGUUGAAUACGUUCCCGGGGCUU